GGCCCUUACGCCUAGGGCGGCACACGUACUACAAUGCCCAGCACAAUGAGAACCGAGACCGCAAGGUGGAGGAAAUCUGCAAAACUGGGCCCAGUUCGGAUCGCCCCCUGCAACUGGCCUCCAUGAAGUCGGAAUCGCUAGUAAUGCCGUAUCAACUACGACGGCGGGAAUACGUUCCCGGGUG
rnacentral:rRNA from 1 species